rnacentral:rRNA from 1 species
UACGGAAGGCAGCAGUGGGGAAUAUUGCACAAUGGGCGCAAGCCUGAUGCAGCCAUGCCGCGUGUAUGAAGAAGGCCUUCGGGUUGUAAAGUACUUUCAGUCGUGAGGAAGGUGUUAAGGUUAAUAACCUUAGCAAUUGACGUUAGCGACAGAAGAAGCACCGGCUAACUCCGUGCCAGCAGCCGCGGUAAUACGGAGGGUGCGAGCGUUAAUCGGAAUUACUGGGCGUAAAGGGCACGCAGGCGGUUAAUUAAGUUGGAUGUGAAAUCCCCGGGCUUAACCUGGGAAUGGCAUUUCAAGACUGGUUAGCUAGAGUCUUGUAGAGGGGGUAGAAUUCCAUGUGUAGCGGUGAAAUGCGUAGAGAUGUGGAGGAAUACCGGUGGCGAAGGCGGCCCCUGGACAAAGGACUGACGCUCAUGUGCGAAAAGCGUGGGGAGCAAACAGGAUUAGAUACC